UACAGAGACUGCAAGCGUUAUUCGGAUUCACUGGGCGUAAAGUGUGCGCAGGCGGCCGCGCAAGUCGAGUGUGAAAGCCCCGAGCUUAACUUGGGAAUUGCGCUCGAAACUACGUGGCUGGAGUGUGGCAGAGGAAGGUGGAAUUCCAGGUGUAGCGGUGAAAUGCGUAGAGAUCUGGAGGAACACCGAUGGCGAAGGCAGCCUUCUGGGCCAACACUGACGCUCAUGCACGAAAGCGUGGGGAGCAAACAGG
rnacentral:rRNA from 1 species